CCUACGGGGGGCAGCAGUAAGGAAUAUUGGUCAAUGGACGAAAGUCUGAACCAGCCAUGCCGCGUGAAGGAUGAAGGUCCUCUGGAUUGUAAACUUCUUUUAUCUGGGACGAAAAAAGGGCUUUCUAGCUCACUUGACGGUACCAGAGGAAUAAGCACCGGCUAACUCCGUGCCAGCAGCCGCGGUAAUACGGAGGGUGCAAGCGUUAUCCGGAUUUACUGGGUUUAAAGGGAGCGUAGGUGGGCAGGUAAGUCAGUGGUGAAAUCUCCGGGCUUAACCCGGAAACUGCCAUUGAUACUAUCUGUCUUGAAUAUCCUGGAGGUAAGCGGAAUAUGUCAUGUAGCGGUGAAAUGCUUAGAUAUGACAUAGAACACCCAUUGCGAAGGCAGCUUACUACGGGAUUAUUGACACUGAGGCUCGAAAGCGUGGGGAUCAAACAGGAUUAGAUACCCCGGUAGUC
rnacentral:rRNA from 1 species